GAUGAACGCUGGCGGCGUGCCUAAUACAUGCAAGUCGAGCGAACGGACGAGAAGCUUGCUUCUCUGAUGUUAGCGGCGGACGGGUGAGUAACACGUGGAUAACCUACCUAUAAGACUGGGAUAACUUCGGGAAACCGGAGCUAAUACCGGAUAAUAUUUUGAACCGCAUGGUUCAAAAGUGAAAGACGGUCUUGCUGUCACUUAUAGAUGGAUCCGCGCUGCAUUAGCUAGUUGGUAAGGUAACGGCUUACCAAGGCAACGAUGCAUAGCCGACCUGAGAGGGUGAUCGGCCACACUGGAACUGAGACACGGUCCAGACUCCUACGGGAGGCAGCAGUAGGGAAUCUUCCGCAAUGGGCGAAAGCCUGACGGAGCAACGCCGCGUGAGUGAUGAAGGUCUUCGGAUCGUAAAACUCUGUUAUUAGGGAAGAACAUAUGUGUAAGUAACUGUGCACAUCUUGACGGUACCUAAUCAGAAAGCCACGGCUAACUACGUGCCAGCAGCCGCGGUAAUACGUAGGUGGCAAGCGUUAUCCGGAAUUAUUGGGCGUAAAGCGCGCGCAGGCGGUUUUUUAAGUCUGAUGUGAAAGCCCACGGCUCAACCGUGGAGGGUCAUUGGAAACUGGAAAACUUGAGUGCAGAAGAGGAAAGUGGAAUUCCAUGUGUAGCGGUGAAAUGCGCAGAGAUAUGGAGGAACACCAGUGGCGAAGGCGACUUUCUGGUCUGUAACUGACGCUGAUGUGCGAAAGCGUGGGGAUCAAACAGGAUUAGAUACCCUGGUAGUCCACGCCGUAAACGAUGAGUGCUAAGUGUUAGGGGGUUUCCGCCCCUUAGUGCUGCAGCUAACGCAUUAAGCACUCCGCCUGGGGAGUACGACCGCAAGGUUGAAACUCAAAGGAAUUGACGGGGACCCGCACAAGCGGUGGAGCAUGUGGUUUAAUUCGAAGCAACGCGAAGAACCUUACCAAAUCUUGACAUCCUUUGACAACUCUAGAGAUAGAGCCUUCCCCUUCGGGGGACAAAGUGACAGGUGGUGCAUGGUUGUCGUCAGCUCGUGUCGUGAGAUGUUGGGUUAAGUCCCGCAACGAGCGCAACCCUUAAGCUUAGUUGCCAUCAUUAAGUUGGGCACUCUAAGUUGACUGCCGGUGACAAACCGGAGGAAGGUGGGGAUGACGUCAAAUCAUCAUGCCCCUUAUGAUUUGGGCUACACACGUGCUACAAUGGACAAUACAAAGGGCAGCGAAACCGCGAGGUCAAGCAAAUCCCAUAAAGUUGUUCUCAGUUCGGAUUGUAGUCUGCAACUCGACUACAUGAAGCUGGAAUCGCUAGUAAUCGUAGAUCAGCAUGCUACGGUGAAUACGUUCCCGGGUCU
rnacentral:rRNA from 1 species